rnacentral:tRNA from 1 species
GCCCGGAUGGUGGAAUAGGUAGACACGCAGGACUUAAAAUCCUGUGACCAUUGCGGUCGUGCGGGUUCAAUUCCCGCUCCGGGUA